rnacentral:tRNA from 2 species
GCGGGUGUGGCGAAACUGGUAGACGCGCAGGAUUUAGGUUCCUGUGACUUUGUCGUGGGGGUUCAAGUCCCUCCACCCGCACCA